rnacentral:sRNA from 1 species
UGGCCACUAAAGUCCUGUAUUUAUCUAUAGAGCAGGUACAGCUUGGGAAGCGCCAGAGAGCCCUUCCCCACCCUGCCCCGCCCAUGUGCCUCCACCCUGGCCUGGAGAGACCACCUGUAGGGUAAGAGAGGAGCCCUGCUCCUUCCCUCCCAGUUCUCU